rnacentral:rRNA from 1 species
GAUGAACGCUGGCGGCAGGCCUAACACAUGCAAGUCGAACGGGUGUAGCAAUACAUCAGUGGCGCACGGGAGAGUAACGCGUGGGAACCUACCUUUUGGUUCGGAAUAACGUCGGGAAACUGACGCUAAUACCGGAUAAGCCCUACGGGGGAAAGAUUUAUCGCCGAAAGAUGGGCCCGCGUUAGAUUAGCUUGUUGGUGAGGUAACGGCUCACCAAGGCUACGAUCUAUAGCUGGUCUAAGAGGAUGAUCAGCCUCACUGGGACUGAGACACGGCCCAGACUCCUACGGGAGGCAGCAGUGGGGAAUAUUGGACAAUGGGGGCAACCCUGAUCCAGCCAUGCCGCGUGAAUGAUGAAGGCCUUCGGGUUGUAAAGUUCUUUUGGCGGGGACGAUGAUGACGGUACCCGCAGAAUAAGCUCCGGCUAACUUCGUGCCAGCAGCCGCCGCGG